rnacentral:tRNA from 1 species
GGGGGUAUGGCUCAUUAGUAGAGCAUUGGCCUAGCAUACAUUAGACCCUGGGUUAUAUUCCCAGUACCACCC